rnacentral:rRNA from 1 species
UACGUAGGGGGCAAGCGUUGUCCGGAUUUAUUGGGCGUAAGAGCGUGUAGGCGGCCAAGCAGGUCAGCUGUGAAAACUCGAGGCUCAACCUCGAGACGUCGGUUGAAACCGCUUGGCUAGAGUCCGGAAGAGGAGAGUGGAAUUCCCGGUGUAGCGGUGAAAUGCGCAGAUAUCGGGAAGAACACCCGUGGCGAAGGCGGCUCUCUGGGACGGUACUGACGCUGAGACGCGAAAGCGUGG